ACUAUAGUCUCAUUUUCGAUCUUAAGAGUAUUCAAAUUAACAAUCUACACCGUUAAAUAUAUUCUAGGGUAUAUGAAAUUCUUAAGAAUAAAAUUUAAAAAUUUUUUUGUAUUGUUUACUUAAUAAAUAAAUCAUGCCAGAAUAAAUGGUAAAAAUUAAAAAAAUCUUUAAAAUUUGAUAAUAAAAUUUUUGAAUUCAAAAUAAAAGAUGCUAAUCUUG
rnacentral:lncRNA from 1 species